AGACAACGGCGCUGUCCCUGGUUC
rnacentral:siRNA from 1 species